UACGUAGGGUGCGAGCGUUGUCCGGAAUUAUUGGGCGUAAAGAGCUCGUAGGCGGUGUGUCACGUCGGCCGUGAAAACCUGCAGCUUAACUGUGGGCGUGCGGUCGAUACGGGCAUCACUGGAGUUCGGCAGGGGAGACUGGAAUUCCAGGUGUAGCGGUGAAAUGCGUAGAUAUCUGGAGGAACACCGGUGGCGAAGGCGGCAUCCCGGACCGAUACUGACGCUGAGGAGCGAAAGCCAGGGGAGCAAACGGG
rnacentral:rRNA from 1 species